rnacentral:tRNA from 1 species
GGGGAUGUAGCUCAAUUGGCAGAGCACUGCCUUUGCAAGGCAGGGGUUAGGGGUUCGAUUCCCCUCAUCUCCACCA